UGGGGAAUAUUGCACAAUGGACGGAAGUCUGAUGCAGCAACGCCGCGUGCGGGAUGACGGCCUUCGGGUUGUAAACCGCUUUUUCUCAUGACGAAGUUUUUUGACGGUAGUGGGGGAAGAAGCACCGGCUAACUACGUGCCAGCGGCCGCGGUGAUACGUAGGGUGCGAGCGUUGUCCGGAAUUAUUGGGCGUAAAGAGCUUGUAGGCGGUUUGUCGCGUCGAUAGUGCAAACUCAGUGCUUAACGCUGAGCCUGCUGUUGAUACGGGCAGACUAGAGGAAGGUAGGGGAGAAUGGAAUUCCCGGUGGAGCGGUGGAAUGCGCAGAUAUCGGGAGGAACACCGGUGGCGAAGGCGGUUCUCUGGGCCUUUCCUGACGCUGAGAAGCGAAAGCGUGGGGAGCGAACAGG
rnacentral:rRNA from 1 species